AUCGCUUCUCAGCCUUUUGGCUAAGAUCAAGUGUAGUAUCUGUUCUUAUCAGUUUAAUAUCUGAUACGUCCUCUAUCCGAGGACAAUAUAUUAAAUGGAUUUUUGGAGCAGGGAGAUGGAAUAGGAGCUUGCUCCGUCCACUCCACGCAUCGACCUGGUAUUGCAGUACCUCCAGGAACGGUGCACCCCCU
rnacentral:snRNA from 1 species